rnacentral:rRNA from 1 species
AACUCGGCCAUUUAGAGGAAGUAAAAGUCGUAACAAGGUUUCCGUAGGUGAACCUGCGGAAGGAUCAUUAUCGAGUGCCGUCGGCCGUGCUGGUUCUUACAAGUGCACGCCGCGUUCUCUCAAUCCACCCCUCUGUGCAUUCCGGCGCGCUUCGCCUUUGGCGGACGCGAUCCGUAUUACAAGCUCCUUUGUAGUAAGAGAGAAAGCGAUGUUUAAUAAAACUGUACAACUAUCAACAACGGAUCUCUUGGCAUCCCACUCGAUGAAGAACGCAGCGAAUUGCGAUAAGUAAUGUGAAUUGCAGAAUUCAGUGAAUCAUCGAAUCUUUGAACGCACCUUGCACCCUCUGGCAUUCCGGAGGGUACGCCCGGUUGAGCAUUAUGAUCGUAUCAAACCUUUGGUUUCUUAUUGCAAAGGUCGAGCGUUCGGCAAAGCCGCCUUGUGAGGCGACGGUAGCUGAAGCGCGACUUGGAGACCAAACGGUUUUGGAUGUGAGCGUGCUGUCGGUCUUUGCGGAUCGACUCGCUUGAAAUGCAUUAGCUGGCGACCCGCCUUACGGUUCCACUCGGCGUAAUAAGUCUUUUCGUCGAGGACACCUGUCUUUACGGUGGCCGAAGGUCGGUGUGACGGCCGCUUCCAAUCGUCUUUGGACAACGCUUUGAACAUUUAAUCUCAGCUCGGCGGGACGACCCGCUGAACUUAAGCAUAUCAAUAAGCGGAGGAAAAGAAACUAACAAGGAUUCCCCUAGUAAC